UUAAGCGACUAAGCGUACACGGUGGAUGCCCUGGCAGUCAGAGGCGAUGAAGGACGUGCUAAUCUGCGAUAAGCGUCGGUAAGGUGAUAUGAACCGUUAUAACCGGCGAUUUCCGAAUGGGGAAACCCAGUGUGAUUCGUCACACUAUCAUUAACUGAAUCCAUAGGUUAAUGAGGCGAACCGGGGGAACUGAAACAUCUAAGUACCCCGAGGAAAAGAAAUCAACCGAGAUUCCCCCAGUAGCGGCGAGCGAACGGGGAGCAGCCCAGAGCCUGAAUCAGUGUGUGUGUUAGUGGAAGCGUCUGGAAAGGCGCGCGAUACAGGGUGACAGCCCCGUACACAAAAAUGCACAUGCUGUGAGCUCGAUGAGUAGGGCGGGACACGUGGUAUCCUGUCUGAAUAUGGGGGGACCAUCCUCCAAGGCUAAAUACUCCUGACUGACCGAUAGUGAACCAGUACCGUGAGGGAAAGGCGAAAAGAACCCCGGCGAGGGGAGUGAAAAAGAACCUGAAACCGUGUACGUACAAGCAGUGGGAGCACGCUUAGGCGUGUGACUGCGUACCUUUUGUAUAAUGGGUCAGCGACUUAUAUUCUGUAGCAAGGUUAACCGAAUAGGGGAGCCGAAGGGAAACCGAGUCUUAACUGGGCGUUAAGUUGCAGGGUAUAGACCCGAAACCCGGUGAUCUAGCCAUGGGCAGGUUGAAGGUUGGGUAACACUAACUGGAGGACCGAACCGACUAAUGUUGAAAAAUUAGCGGAUGACUUGUGGCUGGGGGUGAAAGGCCAAUCAAACCGGGAGAUAGCUGGUUCUCCCCGAAAGCUAUUUAGGUAGCGCCUCGUGAAUUCAUCUCCGGGGGUAGAGCACUGUUUCGGCAAGGGGGUCAUCCCGACUUACCAACCCGAUGCAAACUGCGAAUACCGGAGAAUGUUAUCACGGGAGACACACGGCGGGUGCUAACGUCCGUCGUGAAGAGGGAAACAACCCAGACCGCCAGCUAAGGUCCCAAAGUCAUGGUUAAGUGGGAAACGAUGUGGGAAGGCCCAGACAGCCAGGAUGUUGGCUUAGAAGCAGCCAUCAUUUAAAGAAAGCGUAAUAGCUCACUGGUCGAGUCGGCCUGCGCGGAAGAUGUAACGGGGCUAAACCAUGCACCGAAGCUGCGGCAGCGACACUAUGUGUUGUUGGGUAGGGGAGCGUUCUGUAAGCCUGUGAAGGUGUACUGUGAGGUAUGCUGGAGGUAUCAGAAGUGCGAAUGCUGACAUAAGUAACGAUAAAGCGGGUGAAAAGCCCGCUCGCCGGAAGACCAAGGGUUCCUGUCCAACGUUAAUCGGGGCAGGGUGAGUCGACCCCUAAGGCGAGGCCGAAAGGCGUAGUCGAUGGGAAACAGGUUAAUAUUCCUGUACUUGGUGUUACUGCGAAGGGGGGACGGAGAAGGCUAUGUUGGCCGGGCGACGGUUGUCCCGGUUUAAGCGUGUAGGCUGGUUUUCCAGGCAAAUCCGGAAAAUCAAGGCUGAGGCGUGAUGACGAGGCACUACGGUGCUGAAGCAACAAAUGCCCUGCUUCCAGGAAAAGCCUCUAAGCAUCAGGUAACAUCAAAUCGUACCCCAAACCGACACAGGUGGUCAGGUAGAGAAUACCAAGGCGCUUGAGAGAACUCGGGUGAAGGAACUAGGCAAAAUGGUGCCGUAACUUCGGGAGAAGGCACGCUGAUAUGUAGGUGAAGCGACUUGCUCGUGGAGCUGAAAUCAGUCGAAGAUACCAGCUGGCUGCAACUGUUUAUUAAAAACACAGCACUGUGCAAACACGAAAGUGGACGUAUACGGUGUGACGCCUGCCCGGUGCCGGAAGGUUAAUUGAUGGGGUCAGCGCAAGCGAAGCUCUUGAUCGAAGCCCCGGUAAACGGCGGCCGUAACUAUAACGGUCCUAAGGUAGCGAAAUUCCUUGUCGGGUAAGUUCCGACCUGCACGAAUGGCGUAAUGAUGGCCAGGCUGUCUCCACCCGAGACUCAGUGAAAUUGAACUCGCUGUGAAGAUGCAGUGUACCCGCGGCAAGACGGAAAGACCCCGUGAACCUUUACUAUAGCUUGACACUGAACAUUGAGCCUUGAUGUGUAGGAUAGGUGGGAGGCUUUGAAGUGUGGACGCCAGUCUGCAUGGAGCCGACCUUGAAAUACCACCCUUUAAUGUUUGAUGUUCUAACGUUGACCCGUAAUCCGGGUUGCGGACAGUGUCUGGUGGGUAGUUUGACUGGGGCGGUCUCCUCCUAAAGAGUAACGGAGGAGCACGAAGGUUGGCUAAUCCUGGUCGGACAUCAGGAGGUUAGUGCAAUGGCAUAAGCCAGCUUGACUGCGAGCGUGACGGCGCGAGCAGGUGCGAAAGCAGGUCAUAGUGAUCCGGUGGUUCUGAAUGGAAGGGCCAUCGCUCAACGGAUAAAAGGUACUCCGGGGAUAACAGGCUGAUACCGCCCAAGAGUUCAUAUCGACGGCGGUGUUUGGCACCUCGAUGUCGGCUCAUCACAUCCUGGGGCUGAAGUAGGUCCCAAGGGUAUGGCUGUUCGCCAUUUAAAGUGGUACGCGAGCUGGGUUUAGAACGUCGUGAGACAGUUCGGUCCCUAUCUGCCGUGGGCGCUGGAGAACUGAGGGGGGCUGCUCCUAGUACGAGAGGACCGGAGUGGACGCAUCACUGGUGUUCGGGUUGUCAUGCCAAUGGCACUGCCCGGUAGCUAAAUGCGGAAGAGAUAAGUGCUGAAAGCAUCUAAGCACGAAACUUGCCCCGAGAUGAGUUCUCCCUGACUCCUUGAGAGUCCUGAAGGAACGUUGAAGACGACGACGUUGAUAGGCCGGGUGUGUAAGCGCAGCGAUGCGUUGAGCUAACCGGUACUAAUGAACCGUGAGGCUUAACCUU
rnacentral:rRNA from 1 species